CAUGGCCAUGAGAGUGAAGGCGUUCCUCAGCAGGCCGUACAACUGGUGGAUGUCCUGAGCAGAUGAUGGAGGUUUACACAGAGUAAACUCUGAUUGGAUGCGACUAUAAUCUGACGGCGUCACCACACAGAUUUACCUUGACGUUCGGCUAAUUCUUUCAGCUGAUGGAAAGCUCCUCUCACAGCAUCUCUGCAUUCAGGGGCAAUGCUCUCAAAAUCCUUUGAAAGAGAAACAAAGGCCAGCAGUGGACAGGAUGGGGGCGCUGGCAGCCAGAGCUCCAGCCACGAUGUUUGGAUACUUGAGCCUCAUGUAGACCGACAGCAUCCCACCAUAACUGCAGAGACAAGGAGACGGUCAAACAGGAUAAAACACC